rnacentral:rRNA from 1 species
GAUGAACGCUAGCUACAGGCUUAACACAUGCAAGUCGAGGGACCGGCGCACGGGUGAGUAACACGUAUCCAACCUGCCCUUUACUCGGGGAUAGCCUUUCGAAAGAAAGAUUAAUACCCGAUAUAAAGGCUGGGGAUGCGUUCCUUUAGGUUGUUGGUGAGGUAACGGCUCACCAAGCCUUCGAUGGAUAGGGGUUCUGAGAGGAAGGUCACCCACAUUGGAACUGAGACACGGACCAAACUCCGACGGGAAGCAGGAGUGAGGAAUAAUGGUAAAUGGGAGCUAGCCGGAACCAGCCAAGUAGCGUGAAGGAUGAAGGCUUAUUGGUCGUAAACUUCUUUUAUAUAAAAAUAUGGAUUAUAUGAAAAAGGAUCGGCUAACUCCGUGCCAGCAGCCGCGGUAAUAC